AACAUUAGUUUAGUUGGAUAAAAUUAUAUUUGUCAAUGUAAUAUAAUGUUUUCAUUCGUUAAAUCAAAACACAAAAUAUUAAUUAUAAGAAUAAAUUUUUGAAUACCUAUGUUUUAACCUAAGAAUUUUAACGCAUCGUACGAUGGAGCGUCUUGCAUCCUUUGAUGUGUUACUAUACCUAUGUUUUAUUCUAAAAUUUUUAACUCAUGUAAUCAUAAGUGAAAAUAGAAUAUUUUGAGAAAAACUGCUUAUAGGAUUUAACUUUUCAAUUACUUUUAAUGAGAAUAUUUUUAUUUAUUAAUUUUAACUCAUUUAAAAUUAAUUUCCAUGAUGUAAAAUUAACUUACGAGAUUAUGGCAUAUAAAAAAUAAAUAUUUUCAACAAUGUUUGGUUUCUAAAUAUUUUUGUGGAUUUCUGUUUUUUAGU
rnacentral:sRNA from 1 species